rnacentral:rRNA from 1 species
UAGUGGCGGACGGGUGAGUAACGCGUGGGUAACCUGCCAUAUACAGGGGGAUAACACUUAGAAAUAGGUGCUAAUACCGCAUAAGCGCACAGGGGCGCAUGCCCCGGUGUGAAAAACUCCGGUGGUAUAUGAUGGACCCGCGUCUGAUUAGCCAGUUGGCAGGGUAACGGCCUACCAAAGCGACGAUCAGUAGCCGGCCUGAGAGGGCGGACGGCCACAUUGGGACUGAGACACGGCCCAAACUCCUACGGAAGGCAGCAG